GCUGACACAUUCCAGCCAAUCAGCAGCAGACCCUCCCUCCCAGGCCCUCCCACCUCCUGGACAGCAUCCAUUUUGAAGCUGCAUUCUUAGUGAGCUGUCCAGGAGGUGGGAGGGUCUGGGAGGGAGGGUCUGCUGCUGAUUGACUGGAAUGUGUCAG
rnacentral:miRNA from 1 species